GGAGGCCUGACAAAUAGCGUAUAAAAGGGGUCGGCUGAGUUCCGUAAGAAAAGAAUUGCCGGUGUCAUUGCAACGUACAGACAGUGCGCGCUAGUUGAGCCUUGUCUUUUUUUUAAAAAAAGUCCAGUAAAGUCCAAAAAUUUUCUUUAGUGAAAUAAAAAUAAAUGCUAAAUGCAUUUUUUUUUUAAGUCGCGAGUUGUAAAAACAAAAAAAUAAAUAAAUUGUGAGGAGUGUAGGCGAAGAGCCCACGAUCACCUCUAAGCGCCCGGGAGAACGUGGUCAUCAGAGGCAAGAAGAGGGAGAAGCCUUUAUUAUACUUGCCAAGGCAGGAGGAUUGGCCAUCAGCGGUGACGACCAUAUAAGGCCCAAAGCACAAAACCCGUGGAAGAACCCGCCCCCCCCCAGCGACACUGUGCCAGGAGAUAAGGUGAACCACGCCAGAGUGAAGGCGAAAAGGGUACGGCACAGUUCGCUGGUGAGUGCUAGGCUUAAGUAUCAUAAAAUUCUAUGCAAAAGCUUUUGCGCGAGGGAAAUAUCUACCCAAAAGGAUUUUUUUUAAAGCUCGCAACGAGGAGCAAAGAUUCAGCCUUCCGGUUUGUGUAAGGGGUCAGUCGAGACCACCACCGGCAUGUUAUAACCCAAUCAUUGGGAUUAGAUGAUACACUGCGCGUCCCAAGUAUAGUCCGAGAAAUAUUAAUUUUUUUGAACAUUUCAUUAUUUGUAAUAUAUACGUUCAGGCAUUUGUGUUGCGUAGAUAAUUUGUUAAUAAGUUUGUACGUAUUUAUACUUUCGUUUUUUUUUAUUGUCUUUGUGCCCGCCAGGCAAGAAGAACCCAAACAAAAGGGUAAAUUGUAGUAGUUUCUGAGCGGGGAAUAUCCGGCUCCCGGAAACCCUUCACACCAUCCGAAAAGAGCUCUUGUAGGUAGGGUGGCAGGUUUUUAUAUUGUUUGUUUGACAUACGUGUAUAAACGGUGAUCGAUUUGAUUGGUUCCUUUUUGUUGUGGCGGCCGGAAACCGAUCAUAAAAUUCAUUCAUUUUGUUGUGUGUAAAUUCCUAUGUUUUAUAAUAAAUUUUAACGUGUAUAUGAAAGAAUUUAAAA